AUUGAACGCUGGCGGCAGGCCUAACACAUGCAAGUCGAGCGGAUGAAGGGAGCUUGCUCCUGGAUUCAGCGGCGGACGGGUGAGUAAUGCCUAGGAAUCUGCCUGGUAGUGGGGGAUAACGUCCGGAAACGGGCGCUAAUACCGCAUACGUCCUGAGGGAGAAAGUGGGGGAUCUUCGGACCUCACGCUAUCAGAUGAGCCUAGGUCGGAUUAGCUAGUUGGUGGGGUAAAGGCCUACCAAGGCGACGAUCCGUAACUGGUCUGAGAGGAUGAUCAGUCACACUGGAACUGAGACACGGUCCAGACUCCUACGGGAGGCAGCAGUGGGGAAUAUUGGACAAUGGGCGAAAGCCUGAUCCAGCCAUGCCGCGUGUGUGAAGAAGGUCUUCGGAUUGUAAAGCACUUUAAGUUGGGAGGAAGGGCAAUAAGUUAAUACCUUGCUGUUUUGACGUUACCAACAGAAUAAGCACCGGCUAACUUCGU
rnacentral:rRNA from 1 species